GGCAAACCAUUAGGUCCCUGUGCGCUCCCUGUCACGGGGAAAGUGACAGCACCCUGUGGUUUCCUUUCCAUCGACUCACACUCAUAUGACCUUACUCAGGCAGCCGGCGGAAAAAAAAAUCUGGGUUUCUAAAACCCUCAGCUCGUUUGCUGGAUUCAUCCACACAAAACACUGAAAAAGAGGUGAGUAUCCUUCUUGCUUCUUCCUUCUUGUCAUUUGAAUGUUUUUCUGUGUGCAGGGAGAAAGGCACUUCAAGGAAACAAAUUCCAAUUUACGAAGAACCCAAGGACAGGAGCAAAUAUAAAAGCAAUAAAAGAUAUCCAGGAGAUAGGUCCUAUCUGCAGUCAUCACACUGCAAAGCAUGCAUCAUGUUUUUGUCCUUGAGACAUUUUCUUCUCUCCAGCCUCCUUCUAAUACUUCCCUAUCAUAUGAAAAAUGUGAUUAAACUGUUCCGUG
ensembl:lncRNA